GAUGAACGCUGGCGGCGUGCCUAAUACAUGCAAGUCGAGCGAACAGACGAGGAGCUUGCUCCUCUGACGUUAGCGGCGGACGGGUGAGUAACACGUGGAUAACCUACCUAUAAGACUGGGAUAACUUCGGGAAACCGGAGCUAAUACCGGAUAAUAUAUUGAACCGCAUGGUUCAAUAGUGAAAGACGGUUUUGCUGUCACUUAUAGAUGGAUCCGCGCCGCAUUAGCUAGUUGGUAAGGUAACGGCUUACCAAGGCAACGAUGCGUAGCCGACCUGAGAGGGUGGUCGGCCGCACUGGAGCUGAGACACGGUCCAGACUCCUACGGGAGGCAGCAGUAGGGAAUCUUCCGCAAAGGGCGAAAGCCUGACGGAGCAACGCCGCGUGAGUGAUGAAGGUCUUCGGAUCGUAAAACUCUGUUAUUAGGGAAGAACAAAUGUGUAAGUAACUAUGCACGUCUUGACGGUACCUAAUCAGAAAGCCACGGCUAACUACGUG
rnacentral:rRNA from 1 species